rnacentral:rRNA from 1 species
AGCGAACGCUGGCGGCAGGCUUAACACAUGCAAGUCGAGCGGGCGUAGCAAUACGUCAGCGGCAGACGGGUGAGUAACGCGUGGGAACAUACCUUUUGGUUCGGAACAACACAGGGAAACUUGUGCUAAUACCGGAUAAGCCCUUACGGGGAAAGAUUUAUCGCCGAAAGAUUGGCCCGCGUCUGAUUAGCUAGUUGGUGAGGUAACGGCUCACCAAGGCGACGAUCAGUAGCUGGCUGAGAGGAUGAUCAGCCACAUUGGGACUGAGACACGGCCCAAACUCCUACGGGAGGCAGCAGUGGGGAAUAUUGGACAAUGGGCGCAAGCCUGAUCCAGCCAUGCCGCGUGAGUGAUGAAGGCCCUAGGGUUGUAAAGCUCUUUUGUGCGGGAAGAUAAUGACGUACCGCAAGAAUAAGCCCCGGCUAACUUCGUGCCAGCAGCCGCCGUAAC